rnacentral:rRNA from 1 species
CCUACGGGAGGCAGCAGUAGGGAAUCUUCCACAAUGGGCGAAAGCCUGAUGGAGCAACGCCGCGUGGGUGAAGAAGGUCUUCGGAUCGUAAAACCCUGUUGUUAGAGAAGAACGUGCGUGAGAGUAACUGUUCACGUUUCGACGGUAUCUAACCAGCAAGCCACGGCUAACUACGUGCCAGCAGCCGCGGUAAUACGUAGGUGGCAAGCGUUAUCCGGAUUUAUUGGGCGUAAAGGGAACGCAGGCGGUCUUUUAAGUCUGAUGUGAAAUCCUUGGGCUUAACCGGAGUAGUGCAUUGGAAACUGGGAGACUUGAGGGCAGAAGAGGAGAGUGGAACUCCAUGUGUAGCGGUGAAAUGCGUAGAUAUAUGGAAGAACACCAGUGGCGAAAGCGGCUCUCUGGUCUGUAACUGACGCUGAGGUUCGAAAGCGUGGGUAGCAAACAGGAUUAGAUACCCGAGUAGUC